rnacentral:lncRNA from 1 species
UCUCUCUCUCUCUCUCUCUCUCUCUUUGGUAUUGGAGGCAUGGAGCUGGUGGCUGAGAGAGAUAUUUCAAUAACUUGUAGAAAUUCUUAAGUGUCAUCAACUUCAUGGAUAGAAUAGGUAUAUCCACAGGUAAGGAUACAGCUGAGAUUUCUGAGUAUCUCUGCCAGUGUUAUGGAAAGUUGUUGUCAGUUUCUAGUCCCUUGGAAUUUGGAUAUCAUGUGGCUUUCCUGGCCCUUGCUAUUCCUUCCUGCCUUCCUAUUUGGUCAUCAGAUAUCUUUCUCCAUCUUACUGUAGGGUAAAUCAGGUCUUGAAAACAGCAACGUGUAUUAUACCCGAUAGCUGAAGCAGAAGCUGAAAGCAUGUUUUUUUUUUUUAAAUGAAGCCAGAGAGACGAAGUGAUCUGCUUGAUAAUAAAGCUUAGCUUUAAUGCCAGCUCCAUGCUGUUACAGCAUAUUACUAAACAGCAAGAAAUGUGGCACAGAUGUUGUGGCGGCCAUAUUUUACACCAUCCAAAAGGUCAUGUCGCUUGUUAUUACAUUCGGAAUCAAUAUUAAGUGAGCGUUCCAAAUUUCAGCUGUCAGUUGAAUUUAUUGCUGCAAACCAAAACUGAAGGGUUCUCGACUGUGAUUCAAGCAAGCUAACAAAUUAACUAAUAUAAGGGCAUGCCUAGAAGAAGCAGGUGACCCACGUGCCAAAGCAAAAGCUGGGCUCUUACAUAGCUGCAAGAAAGGACUUGCUCUAACUGCCAAUCAAAAGCAAUUGCUACCUAGCUGAUAGAAAGGAGAGAAGGGGAAAAGGAAAAAGAGGGGAAGUGAGGUAGGAAAGAAAGCCAAGCAGCUGAGGGAGCUAUGGAGUCUGUUAGACAUGUAGGGUUGAGAAGUCAAAAGGGGAAAAAGGGAAACAAAGGAAGAAGAGGGAG